UAUAAUACACUUUUAAAUAAAAUAUAGCAGUAUAUUAUUAUAAUAUUGGUAUUAUAAUAUUACUUUCUUCAGUUCUUUAUACAUGUUUUCAAUGAGGCCUACUCUAUCUUAUUUAUUACUACAAACUGCUCUCUCACUAUCCCCUACCCCUGAUCCUUUUUUCUUUAUUCUUAUUUAUAGCAUUUAGCAUAUUUGACCAUAUCAGGCACUUUACUUAUGAUAUUUAUUAUUUAAUAUCUAUUUCCUUUCAUUAGAAGGCAGUAUGUGGUCAGCUCUCAGUGUGGCCCCUAUGCUCUACUUCUGCCGGUAUUUGUGUCUUAGUCAGUACUCACCCACUUUGAAUCAUGGAUGCCUGAAUGCCAAACAGCAUAGUGUAGAAGUGGCUUUGUGUGACUCCUAAGAAUCUCUCCAGGAUAAUUUAGCCUGUAUUUCCAUAAAUAUUUCAGCUUCUGCCUUGCCUCCUGUCCUCUCUUGGAUCAUUUACUCUGUGGAAAGCCAUCUGUCAUAUCAUGAAAACACUCAAGCAGCCUUGUGGAAAGCGGCGCAUGGGGAUGAACCGAGACUUCCUGCCAACACCAAAAACUACUUGCCAGCCAUGUCUUUAUACUGAGAACUCAGAACUGGAUCCAAGGAGACUCAUUUGCGCAUGGACUUUAUUUAGAUAGCUUUGGUGUUGCUGUCACUGGGAAAGUCAGAAAGGACACACAGAGACAGCCAACACAGUGUCUUGCUGCAUGAAGAGAUAGAAAUUGUGCACAAUUAAUAAACAGUGUGGAUGGUGGAAGAAAGAUUGGAAUUUUAAUAGAAAACUUCUGUCAGUAGCAGAGGCAGACUGCUUCGCAAAUGGUCACAAAUGCCUUGAAUAAAAGGAGUAACCAUUUCAAGAGGACAGCUGCUGGCAAGAAACGGUCGGGGUGUAGGAAUAUCACUUGUGUAGGAGAACCUAGCCCUGGCUGGAUAAAGCAGGCUAACAACCUGGACGUCUACCAAAUCCCGCCAGAGAUGUGCUUUGUUUGGCUGGCAUAGGUUUUAAACAACUUUAAUGCGUGUGCUGUUAUGUGGCAGUAAUGCUCCCGGUUAUUGUCACUUUCUAUUGUCAUAUAUUCACCCCAUGCAUACGUUUAUGUUACCUGCAUGGCCCUGUGUGCAUUUUUAACUUGUGAUACAAAAGGUAUUUUUACAUGUUCCUAGGGAGGAGGAACAGAAUGCUGAUAACAAAGCACCACUGAUAUGCUUUGUAGUUUGUUCUUUGUAAUUAUGCUUAGAUCAUCAUAUCAAGAGUCAACAGUGUAUAGUUCUUAUUACACAGGCAUUUGAAAUCCUUGCUUCUGCUGCAGACAAUGAUGCCUGCGGUUCUUUUUUUCUUCUUUUUCUUCACCCAUUCUUUUUGGAGUCCAGCUUCUGCCCUGAGC